AACUGCCUGUCUCCCUUGGACUGACUACUGGCUUGUAUUCCUUCCCAAAGGCAUUCUUUGAAAGAAGGCAACAUGCUCGUGGACCAGCAAUGCCGACAGCAGGAUAGAGGGAACUCUCAAAAACUUUACAAGAGCCCCCCUCCCAAGGACACUUUAAAGAUGGAAAUAGGUGAUGACAAUUCUGCUGUCUUCUUGACAUCUAAGAUCUGCAUAAAGAUGUGCAUCAACAUUAUGAUAGCAAAAAGAGUAACAAGGUGGCCAAACAGCGUGGUGUUACUAAGAAUCUGUGCAUCCCAAAACAAGAAAAACAACAGUGUAAGGGUUGCAGUAUGAUGCUGGAUGGAAGAUAGAGACCAGUAUCCCUGCAGACCAAGAUUCACCAAAUGACCGUACCAGCUGCCCUUCUGGAAGUGUCACAACUUCAGCACGUGAUAGUGGAAACUCGAGAAACAGCACUGCCGCAAAAGAUGGUGCAGCAGGCAAGCCUGCUGGCACUGGCAUGGGUAGUGGUAUGUAAAAUGCAUGUAUGAAGAAUAAAAGUCCAUUUCG